rnacentral:rRNA from 1 species
UACGAAGGGGGCGAGCGUUGUUCGGAAUUACUGGGCGUAAAGGGCGCGCAGGCGGCUCUGAAAGUCAGAUGUGAAAGCCCCGGGCUUAACCUGGGAAUUGCAUUUGAUAUUCUGGAGCUUGAGUACGGGAGAGGGGAGUGGAAUUCCCAGUGUAGAGGUGAAAUUCGUAGAUAUUGGGAAGAACACCGGUGGCGAAGGCGGCUCUCUGGACCACAACUGACGCUGAGGCGCGAAAGCGUGGGGAGCAAACAGG